AUGCAGCAGAAGAUUAAAUAGUUUUCAUUGUCAAGUAUGGGAGUGGACACCUUCUAGCCUUUGGGCCAGAAUCAACCAUUAGGUUAAUGUUACCCAGCCUGUGGGGACCAGUAAAAGAUGUCUUGGCUCUGUGUAUGCCUAAAGAUGCAAAACCACAACACUUCUGAUCAUCUUUAACAGCUUCAUUGAAGAAAGGUAAAUUAUGGAAGCUAUGUGGACAUCGCAUGUGUUAAGAGUUUUGUUGCUUUGGACUUCAAAAGAUUGUGCUAAGAAGAGGCUGAUAUGACUCUCCAACAGUAUUUACUUAAAGUUGGCUUUAAAGAGAG